rnacentral:rRNA from 1 species
UACGGAGGGGGCUAGCGUUGUUCGGAAUUACUGGGCGUAAAGCGUACGUAGGCGGCUUUGUAAGUUAGAGGUGAAAGCCCGGGGCUCAACUCCGGAAUUGCCUUUAAGACUGCAUCGCUUGAAUCAUGGAGAGGUUAGUGGAAUUCCGAGUGUAGAGGUGAAAUUCGUAGAUAUUCGGAAGAACACCAGUGGCGAAGGCGACUAACUGGACAUGUAUUGACGCUGAGGUACGAAAGCGUGGGGAGCAAACAGG